rnacentral:misc_RNA from 1 species
GAUGAAGAACGCAGCGAAAUGCGAUACGUAAUGUGAAUUGCAGAAUUCAGUGAAUCAUCGAAUCUUUGAACGCACAUUGCGCCUGCCAGCACUCUGGCAGGCAUACCUGUUCGAGCGUCAUUUCAACCAUCAAGCCCUAGGCUUGCGUUGGAGCCCUGCGGCUGCCGCAGGCCCCUAAAAGCAGUGGCGGGCUCGCUAUCACACCGAGUGCAGUAGAUUACUCUUCGCUCAGGGCGUGUGGCGGGUUCCAGCCGUGAAACCCCCUACUUCUCAAGGUUGACCUCGGAUCAGGUAGGAAUACCCGCUGAACUUAAGCAUAUCAAUAAGCGGAGGA